AACAAACGCUGGCGGCGUGCCUAAUACAUGCAAGUCGAACGGGGAAAGCUUUCGGGUGAGUACUAGUGGCGCACGGGUGAGGAACGCGUGGAUAAUCUGCCUUAGAGUGGGGGAUAACUAGUCGAAAGAUUAGCUAAUACCGCAUAAGACCACAGGAGCUGCGGCUCGAGGGGUCAAAGGUUUUUCGCUCUAAGAUGAGUCCGCGUAAGAUUAGCUAGUUGGUGAGGUAACGGCUCACCAAGGCGACGAUCUUUAACUGGUCUGAGAGGAUGAUCAGUCACACUGGAACUGAGACACGGUCCAGACUCCUACGGGAGGCAGCAGCAGGGAAUAUUGCACAAUGGAGGAAACUCUGAUGCAGCGACGCCGCGUGAGUGAUGAAGGCCUUCGGGUCGUAAAGCUCUGUCGCAGGGGAAUAACACAAUGAAUGUACCCUGUAAGAAAGGAUCGGCUAACUUCGUGCCAGCCGCCGCGGUAAGAC
rnacentral:rRNA from 1 species